rnacentral:rRNA from 1 species
AUUGAACGCUGGCGGCAUGCCUUACACAUGCAAGUCGAACGGCAGCACGGGAGCAAUCCUGGUGGCGAGUGGCGAACGGGUGAGUAAUAUAUCGGAACGUGCCCGGUCGUGGGGAUAACGUAGCGAAAGCUACGCUAAUACCGCAUACGAUCUACGGAUGAAAGCGGGGGAUCGCAAGACCUCGCGCGAUUGGAGCGGCCGAUAUCAGAUUAGGUAGUUGGUGAGGUAAAGGCUCACCAAGCCGACGAUCUGUAGCUGGUCUGAGAGGACGACCAGCCACACUGGGACUGAGACACGGCCCAGACUCCUACGGGAGGCAGCAGUGGGAAUUUGGACAAUGGGCGCAAGCCUGAUCCAGCAAUGCCGCGUGCAGGAUGAAGGCCUUCGGUUGUAACUAGGCUUUGUUACGGUAACGGAAACGGUA